UUACCAAUCAUUUACUCUAAGACCAUAAAUGCUUUACGGCGUCUUCAAUGGACAGCUAAUACUAUUCGUCAAUGGAUUAAAGUACUGCUCAUAGAUGAGAAAAAUACUUCCAGCACAAACUUCAGGAGUUUAUUUGCCCAGUAUUUUAUAUUACUAUUCUUUUAUUGCUUCAUUUGUCUUUAUAGUAUUUGUAUUCAGAACUGUGGUAUCUCAAGCCAACAGCUGAACACUCGGCUAAAUUCUCUUUUUCUUUCACAGUGUAACACAGUGGAGCACAGUCAAAUGGAAGAUGGUCUUCCCCACAGUUGGAGUCUGUCUAGCCAAUGCAUCCAGCCUCAUUUCUCAAGCCACAUGUUAUACCCUAAGAAUGUGAUACUGCAUGAAAAUAUUACUGUGAUGAAUGGACAUCCAAUGAGAAGCUAAAGGACUUAACAUUUUGAGAUUCAACUGAUAGCCUUUUAUUGCUAGAGCUUGCAUUGAUAGACAUGAGGAGGCUUCACAGUUUUGAAACAAAUGAAAUUCACGAAGUCCAAAUAAAUCAAGAAAGAGCCUUGAGCUUCAUUAUUGUCCCUUCAACAUCUCAGAAAGUUUUCUUGGUGAAGUGCUAGAGCUUUGACUGAAUAUUAGGAAUUUCAACACGGAAUACACAGUACAUGUUUUCUUCUGCUAGCCUGACAGCCUUGAUCUGAACUACCAAGUAUUUAUCAGGGGCAGUGAAGGGUCAGUACAUAGCAUCAAGCACAGCAUUGCUAUCUGGAAAGCCAAUUUUGAUCCAAGUCCAAGUUCCUAGUGGGAUAAAUAGGCCUUUCAACAAGACCUAAGUCAGAGAUGACUAUGAGAUCCUCCAUUUCUAAUAAUAUUCUGGCAGAUUAGAAAGAAUACACAGAUGAGAAUUUCCUCGCUUUUACCAAAAAGCCAGAUAUAUAAAACUAUUCCAAAGAAACAGGUCACAGUUGCUGCUCAUCAAGCAUUUUUGCAAGUUGGCUCACAGAUAAAACAAGUUCUCCAGAGCCGUUUUCCCUAAUCCCAGGACACUUUACUUACCUCUGCAUGCACGCAGAAAGCCGAACUCUGCUUUACUACAUUGUAACCUCCUGAGGACAAGGACUGGAUUUGUCCCACAGCAAACAUAAUGCUUUAACUUUAUUAAGCAGUCAGUAUGUAAAAUAGUGACUCUACUUCAAAAUAAAAGAUUGGGCUAAACAUU
rnacentral:lncRNA from 1 species